rnacentral:rRNA from 1 species
GACGUAGGGCGCGAGCGUUGUCCGGAUUUAUUGGGCGUAAAGAGCUCGUAGGCGGCUUGUCGCGUCGUCUGUGAAAUCCCGCGGCUCAACUGCGGGCUGGCAGUCGAUACGGGCAGGCUGGAGUUCGGUAGGGGAGACUGGAAUUCCUGGUGUAGCGGUGAAAUGCGCAGAUAUCAGGAGGAACACCGGUGGCGAAGGCGGCAUCCUGGACCGGCAUUGACGCUGAGGCGCGAAAGCCAGGGGAGCAAACGGG